AGUUUGCUAGAUCACCGCUGAGCUCUCCCUCUUGCAACGCUUCCGCUGGGCAGGCCGGACGGAGAUGGCCCCUGGGCACCUGUCCCCGGCCUGCCAGCCCUGGCCCCUCCGGUUCUCCAGAUUCCCCACGUCCGCGUCCGCGGAUCAGCACGCGCGGGGCCCCGCGUCCGCCCCUCUCCGGGCCCGCCCAGCGCAACCAGGGCUCCCAGAGAGGCCACGGGCAGGCGAGGUCAGGGAACUGAGACCCAGAGAAGUUGGAAGUCUUGCCUAAGGUCACACAAUUGGCAGGCAGCAGAAUUAAGACUCAAACUUGGAUUCACUGACUUCAGUGGAAAUGAUGAAGAUGAAGCUUUGCUGCACCCUCAGGACCAUAGGACUUUGCCAUCUGACUUGCAACGGAAACCUUCUAUAUGUAUUAUCUUUCCCAUUAUAAUGUAGGCUCCUUGAGAACAGUUUUCUUUUUGUA